rnacentral:rRNA from 1 species
UGGGGAAUUUUGGACAAUGGGCGAAAGCCUGAUCCAGCAAUGCCGCGUGCAGGAUGAAGGCCUUCGGGUUGUAAACUGCUUUUGUACGGAACGAAACGGCGAGCUCUAAUAAAGUUUGCUAAUGACGGUACCGUAAGAAUAAGCACCGGCUAACUACGUGCCAGCAGCCGCGGUAAUACGUAGGGUGCGAGCGUUAAUCGGAAUUACUGGGCGUAAAGCGUGCGCAGGCGGUUAUAUAAGACAGAUGUGAAAUCCCCGGGCUCAACCUGGGACCUGCAUUUGUGACUGUAUAGCUAGAGUACGGUAGAGGGGGAUGGAAUUCCGCGUGUAGCAGUGAAAUGCGUAGAUAUGCGGAGGAACACCGAUGGCGAAGGCAAUCCCCUGGACCUGUACUGACGCUCAUGCACGAAAGCGUGGGGAGCAAACAGGAUUAGAUACCCACGUAGUCCCUGAG